CGCAAAUUACCACACUCCCGGCACGGGGAGGUAGUGACAAAAAAUAACGAUACGGGACUCUUAUGAGGCCCCGUAAUCGGAAUGAGUACACUUUAAAUCCUUUAACAAGGAUCCAUUGAAGGGCAAGUCUGGUGCCAGCAGCCGCGGUAAUUCCAGCUUCAAUAGCGUAUAUUAAAGUUGUUGCGGUUAAAAAGCUCGUAGUUGGUUCUGCGUGCCACGCUGUCGGUUCGCCGCCUGCCGGUGUAACUGGCAUGCCGUGGCAUGUCCUGUCGGUGGCGUUCGGGAGCCUCGUCUAGGCGCUGGCCCUUGCCAAAAGCUUGGUGCUCGGAGGCCGGGGGUAUACCCGUUCGCCUACUCUAUCCUACCUAGGUGCUCUUCACCGAGUGUCGAGGUAGGCCGACACGUUUACUUUGAACAAAUUAGAGUGCUCAAAGCAGGCUGAAAUCUCUGCCUGAAUAGUGGUGCAUGGAAUAAUAAAACAGGACCUUGGUUCUAUUUUGUUGGUUCUUAGGAACACAAGGUAAUGAUCAAUACGGACAGGCGGGGGCAUUCGUAUUGCGACGUUAGAGGUGAAAUUCUUGGAUCGUCGCAAGACGCACAAGAGCGAAAGCAUUUGCCAAGUAUGUCUUGAUUGAUCAAGAACGAAAGUUAGAGGUUCGAAGGCGAUCAGAUACCGCCCUAGUUCUAACCAUAAACGAUGCCAGCCAGCGAUCCGCCGAUGUUCCUCCGAUGACUCGGCGGGGAGCUUCUUCCCGGGAAACCAAAGCUUUUGGGUUCCGGGGGAAGUAUGGUUGCAAAGCUGAAACUUAAAGGAAUUGACGGAAGGGCACCACCAGGAGUGGAGCCUGCGGCUUAAUUUGACUCAACACGGGAAACCUCACCAGGCCAGGACAUUGGAAGGAUUGACAGAUUGAUAGCUCUUUCUUGAUUCAGUGGUGUAGUGGUGCAUGGCCGUUCUU
rnacentral:rRNA from 1 species